rnacentral:rRNA from 1 species
UUGACCUCAAAUGCAGGUAGGACUACCCG